CGGAAGGGCAGCUACAAGGCCAAGAUGGCCCGAAGGAGCAAGAGGAGCCGCGGCAAGGAUGGGCAAGAAAGCAGAAAAAGGAGCUCCCUGUUCCGCAAGAUCACCAAGCAAGCAUCCCUGCUCCACACCAGCCGCAGCCUUUCUUCCCUUAACCGCUCCUUGUCAUCAGGGGAGAGUGGGCCAGGCUCUCCCACACACAGCCACAGCCUUUCCCCCCGAUCUCCCACUCAAGGCUACCGGGUGACCCCCGAUGCUGUGCAUUCAGGUACGAAGGGCUCCCUGCAGAUCAGUGACAACCCCUGGGAAAUAGGAAAGUUCCUAGGCCCUGUGUGCUUCUGACAGAUCUCACUCUGAGUCUCUCAUUUAGCCCACCCCCUGAAAGAUCCUGUAGUCUUGGGGAGGAGUUAAUUGAUGGGGAA
rnacentral:sRNA from 1 species